UGGCAACAUAUUGUAGCUGAAGGGAAAGGUCUGGGAUUGACAGAGCAAGGGUAGGAAAUAUCUCCGCGCUGGAGCCGGAGUACAGACAUACUUCAAGUUCAGGAGAAGCAAGAGACCCAAGAAGAAAUAGGCAAACUAAAGAGUUUCAACAAAGUUUAUCUAAGACGGAUGGCACAGCAUAUUGAGAUUACCCGACUGCUCGAUCAAACUCCUCCGAGCGAUGAGGUCUCUCUCUCCUCUGCCUCUCACAAGACACACACACAAAGAAUCUCUUUGUUUUUUUCCCCACUGUUUGUGUACUAUUUUUGACAAGAGGAAAUAAGAUAGGAAGUAUUAACGGAUUUGAUGGAUAAUUUGAUUGUCCUUUUAAAUCUAAGCUUGUGGCACAAAAUGGCAAACAAACAAGAUCAAAUUCGGUAA